GUGUCUGCGUCUCUUUUGAGCAGACUAUUCUCUCUUAGAGGGACUGGCGACUCUUAGUCGCACGAGAUUGAGCAAUAACAGGUCUGUGAUGCCCUUAGAUGUUCUGGGCCGCACACGCGCUACACUGAAUAGAUCAGCGUGUUCUCCCUUUCCGAGAGGAACGGGUAAACCGCUGAACCCUAUUCGUGGUAGGGAUCGGGGCUUGCAAUUAUUCCCCGUGAACCAGGAAUUCCCAGUAGGCGCAAGUCAUAAGCUUGCGUCGAUUACGUCCCUGCCCUUUGUACACACCGCCCGUCGCUACUACCGAUUGAACGUUUUAGUGAGGUCCUCGGACUGUUUGCCUGGCGGAUUACUCUGCCUGGCUGGCGGGAAGACGACCAAACUGUAGCGUUUAGAGGAAGUAAAAGUCGUAACAAGGUAUCCGUAGGUGAAA
rnacentral:rRNA from 1 species